rnacentral:sRNA from 1 species
UUUUCUUAAAGCCUAGACUUCCCAAGAUGAGUUUCACUGCUCAUACACUGGAAUCUUUGGAAGUUUUGUUCUGGUUAUGCGUUUUCUUUUGCAAGUUUUAGCGUGGAAAAUUUCUGUAUUUUUUGUUUCCAUACCUUCCCCUGGGAGAUUCUCUCCCCCUCCAGCUUUCUUAAACAGUGUCUCUUCCCUUAACCCUCUGCAUCUGGUUUUGUUUUUCUUAUAAGCCUCUUCUCAGAAGUGAAUCCGUUACUCUUAAACUGAGAAGUUUGGAUAAACGGCCCCAAGAUAAAAUCAAGAAAGUUAAUCUCAAUUCUAAAGCAACAAUUGGGGGGUGGGGUGAUACUGAUUAGCUACAUUUCCCAUAGUAAAUUAUUAACUCAAUGCUGACUAGAAGAUCUAUACAUAAAUCAGUAUUGUACCGGAUGUGGCCCAGGUGCUAGUACACUGAGCAUGCACAUCAAGAAAGUUUUCUGAAUUUUUUUUUCUCCCAGUGAUCAAAGAAUACAACGCACAAUUCAUUUUCGCGUUUGCUGUGCUUUAUAUAAAGCCAAAGACGUGUUUUGGAGAGCCAGGUGCAGGUCUAAGCGCCGAAAUGAGCAGAGGAAAGAGUGUCUGCUCUGCCCACAGUCCCCAUAUGGCUAAAGUUACAGCCAGCUACACAGGGAUUCUUGGUGGCCGUUUUGUACUGUAGCUGUAAUGGAUUUUCAUCAGUCCUACACUAUUUACUUGUCCUGGCAUUUCCAUUCUUUAAAAAACAGUCCUUAACGAUCAGGGGUGUUUACUUCCUUCCCACAAUGGGCAUGUAAGAAUUUCCUUAGGAGCAAUUUACUAAAAGAACAGAGUGGAAUGACCUCCAGAGGGCUGUACUCCAGCAUCGGAGUGAGAACAGGAAGUAAAUGAGGGCACAGAUGUACCUGGGGUCUCUCUGUGACAAACGGAGAAAAUUCCCACCACGUUCAAAUAGAUCCAUGUGCCAUGGUUAAAAAAAGAAGAAGAAGAAGAAUAAAAAGUUCAAACAAUCAGCAGUUCAAACACAAAUGAAUUUCAAAGUUCUAUCAGAACAAAUAUCGCGGUAACAAUCUAGAUCUUUCCAGGAAAGGGAGAUAGAGCCCCGAGCGUUCUUCCUGACAGUCCUGUGUUACGCUCUAGAAGAAUCUGCCAUUGCUGCACUUGCUGUUGUUGCUCCAUUAGCAACUUUCUCUCCCAAGGACAACAGGAAGAACCAGGAUCAUGGAGGAAGUGGUCCCAAUCCACAAAGUUGCCCUGGAAAAUCUGUGCAUCUUCUGAGCCUCAAAGAGCAGAGAUCAAAGGUGGUCACCUGUGGCUCCAGCGACUUACCAGCCCCUCUCAGGAAACAUCUCCGUCAGACUCCAGGGUCUCUCCGACCGGGUCUCUUCUAGCUGCAGUGACAGCGGCGGCUGUGGCUAUAGGCCUGUUUUUAAGUUUUUAAAGUUAGGGUCUUAGCCAUGAUGAAGUAUCUGUCAAGAACAACUUAAGGGAGAGAGGGCUUGUUCUGACUCAUGGUUCAAAAGAAGUCCAUCGUGGCUGUGCGUGCGGGCGUGCGUGUAGAACAUAUCCAGUGUCCACCGUGGCUGGAAGAGGCUUUUAGAUCCCCUGGAGCUGUAGUAAGAGACAACCAGGGAGCCUUCUGACAGGGAGCCAGAUCAGCAAGCAGUUUGACUGCUACUCAGCUCCUGUUCUCUCUUCCUAAAGUCCAGGAAGUCCCUCCCACAAUGAAGAUGGGUCUUCCCACAUCAGCUAACGGAAGUAUCCGGAGCAGUAUUCUCCAGCAGUGUGGUAUUCUCACAGAGAUACAAGUAAGUAAGGGAAAUGUGUCUGAGGGAGAGGCAACCCAGGAAGAGGGAGGCCCUGGUGUUGAUGUGUCUGACAUGCCUGAGUGGCGACCAAAAGGCCAGCAAUAAUGGAGGGUGGGUAAAAGACAGGAGGUAGACACCCAUGUGGAUGAGGCCAGAGCAUGCACAGCUCCGUAAGUUGUUAAAGGCUUUGGAUUUAAUUGUAAUAAAAACCACUGGUGAAGCUGGAGAGCUGACUGUAGCUAAGAGCACUCUCUCCUCUUACAGAGGACCAGGGUUAUGUUCCCAGCAUCCACACAGCAGCUUACAACUACCUCUGACUCCAACUCCAGAGGAUCCAAUGACCUCUUCUGAGCCCCUUGGUCACCAGCCAUGCAUCUGAUACACAUACAU